ensembl:snoRNA SNORA52 small nucleolar RNA, H/ACA box 52
UGGUCCAUCCUAAUCCCUGCCGGCCAGCCUGUGGCCUGUCAGGCUUCGCUUGUGGACCAGAGCACCCUAGAAGUCUCACCAGAGCAGUGAGCACAGCUUCAGUGGGCUCGUGCCAUGGGAACUUCUAGACACUC